rnacentral:rRNA from 1 species
UACGUAGGGUGCAAGCGUUAAUCGGAAUUACUGGGCGUAAAGCGUGCGCAGGCGGUUCGCUAAGACAGACGUGAAAUCCCCGGGCUUAACCUGGGAACUGCAUUUGUGACUGGCGGGCUAGAGUAUGGCAGAGGGGGGUAGAAUUCCACGUGUAGCAGUGAAAUGCGUAGAGAUGUGGAGGAAUACCGAUGGCGAAGGCAGCCCCCUGGGCCAAUACUGACGCUCAUGCACGAAAGCGUGGGGAGCAAACAGG